UACGAAGGGGGGCUAGCGUUGUUCGGAAUUACUGGGCGUAAAGGGCGCGUAGGCGGCGUGACAAGUCACUUGUGAAAUCUCCGGGCUUAACUCGGAACGGUCAAGUGAUACUGUCGUGCUAGAGUACAGAAGGGGGCAACUGGAAUUCUCGGUGUAGCGGUGAAAUGCGUAGAUAUCGAGAGGAACACCUGCGGCGAAGGCGGGUUGCUGGGCUGAUACUGACGCUGAGGCGCGAAAGCCCAGGGGGAGCGAACGGGG
rnacentral:rRNA from 1 species